GCUAUGUCUCCUUCUCCUUUUCGUCUCUUUCUUUGAAAACCCUAGAAAUCUCAGGUUUUUAAGGAAAAGAGGACUUUGAUUCGGUGCAAUUUUAUCCUUUUCUCCUUUUUUUGUCGGUGUACAUAUGGGGUUAUAUUUCGCGGGAUCCCCAAUUUUCUAAGAAAAAAUUGGUUGUUAGAAGUUGGUGCUAUGGAGAGAUCCAAUAGCAGAGAUUUCAAAGACUUGACUAGCUCCUCUGGCUCCAUCUCAGAUGGUGCCCUCUUUGAUGCAUCACAAUAUGCAUUUUUUGGUCGAGAUAUAGGAGAGGAAGUUGAAUUGGGUGGUCUAGAGGAAGAAGGAAACAAUUGUGUUCCCGCGGUGGAUGGUGGAUUUGGUGAUGUCGAUACACAUGAGUACCAUUUGUUUGAAAAAGAUGAGGGAUCAGCUUUGGGGUCUUUAUCUGACAUAGAUGAUCUGGCAACUACAUUUUCAAAGUUGAACAGAAAUGUCGCAGGACCUAGGCAUCCAGGAAUUAUUGGUGAUCGUGGAUCAGGAUCGUUUUCGAGGGAAAGUUCAUUGGCAGCUGAAUGGGCAAAGGAAACUGAUUUUCCUGAUUGUUUUGAUCAGCAUUUGUCUGACACUGAAUGUUACCAGGAUAGCAAAAGAUGGUCUUCUCAGUCUCAUUUAUCUCCUCUGCAUCUGUCAGAGUCAAAACCGUUGUAUAGAACAUCCUCAAAUCCUGAGCAACCACAACAACUUCAGCGCUUCUCAAGCGAACCCAUUUUAGUGGCGAAGUCAUCUUUCACUUCUCUCCCUCCUCCGGCUGGCAGAUCUCUACAAGCCUCACCAUACAGUUUAUCACAUCAUCAAAGCAUGCCAUCUCUUGCUGCUGGACCUCACUCUCACUAUUCAAAUGCCAAUCUCUCUACUUUGUCAAAUUCUAAUAUCCAUUUACCAGGCUUGUCUCAUGGGCUUCAUUAUGGUGGAAACAUGCCACAAUGGACACUUCCCAGUCUUUCUCUCGAUACCCGUCUACAAAAUCACUGGACUAGUCAUGCGAGUCUCAGCCAUGGGGAUCAUUCUAGACUAUUAAAUAGUUUAUCUCCACAUCAAUUUCCUCGGAAUGGUUUGUUAUCUCCUCUGUUAAUCUCUUCCCAGCAACUGCAGCAGCAAAGAUUGCAUCAUUCAGUUCAACCAUCUUUAGCUCAUUUUUCUGCACUGCCUUCCCAGUUUAAUUCCUUUCCUUCUCCUGCCCACCUGGGUAAGCAUGGAUUGGAUGAUUUUAGAGAUUCAAAAUCUAAGUCAUCACAUAAAGGUAGACAGAAUGUGCGCUUUUCUAAACUAAGCUCUGAAGGCAGUAGCCAAAAAAGUGAGAAUAAUGUUCCCAAGUUCAGAUCUAAGUACAUGACUGGUGAUGAAAUAGAGAGCAUCCUGAAAAUGCAGCAUCCUGCAACACAUUGCAAUGAUCCAUAUGCGGACGACUAUUAUUACCAAGCUCGCCUUGCAAAGAAAGCAGCUGAGUCGAGGUCAAAACAUCGUUUUUGUCCAAACAAGGAGCAACCUUCACGAUCACGCAACAGUACAGACUCACAGCCUCACCUCCAUGUUGAUGCUAAGGGGCAAAUUUCAUUUUCUUUCAUCCGCAGGCCUCGUCCUCUUCUUGAGUAUGAUCCACCAGGAUUUGUAUGUAAUGGCAGUGGUGAUCAGAAGAUAUCUGAGAAAUCUUUGGAGCAGGAACCAAUGUUUGCUGCUAGAAUUACAGUAGAGGAUGGUUUUUAUCUUCUCCUUGAGGUUGAUGACAUCAAUAGGCUACUUCAUUUUAGUCAGCCGCAAGAUGGUGGUGUUCAGCUGAAGCGGAAGCGGC
rnacentral:misc_RNA from 1 species